rnacentral:rRNA from 1 species
GACGAACGCUGGCGGCGUGCUUAACACAUGCAAGUCGAACGGAAAGGCCUCUUUCGGGGGGUACUCGAGUGGCGAACGGGUGAGUAACACGUGAGUAACCUGCCCUUGACUUUGGGAUAACUUCAGGAAACUGGGGCUAAUACCGGAUAGGAGCUCCUGCUGCAUGGUGGGGGUUGGAAAGUUUCGGCGGUUGGGGAUGGACUCGCGGCUUAUCAGCUUGUUGGUGGGGUAGUGGCUUACCAAGGCUUUGACGGGUAGCCGGCCUGGGAGGGUGACCGGGCACAUUGGGACUGAGAUACGGCCCAGACUCCUACGGGAGGCAGCAGGGGGGAAUAUUGCACAAUGGGUGGAAGCCUGAUGCAGCAACGCCGGGUGCGGGAGGACGGCCUUCGGGUUGUAAACCGCUUUCGCUCAUGACGAAGCUUUGUGUGACGGUAGUGGGUAAAGAAGCACCGGCUAACUACGUG